rnacentral:rRNA from 1 species
AUGUUCAAGAAAGAUCCUAGCUCCGUUGGGCCAGGCUUAUUCAACUGGAAUUGCAAUGUUGUGAAUAUGAUCCUUGUCUAUGGCAACCACUCCAUGUUCCUCGGGCUCAAUUAUCCGAUCAUCCAACCAAUCAUCGAUCAUAUCACCGAGAUGAUUACCGUGCUAUGCAACUUCCAUUCGCCAGGGGGACUGUGUUUACAUAUCAUACCAUGGGUUUAUGAAUCACCAUAUCCAGAGAUUCGACGACACAGCUUGUUGCUAGAUAAUCUUCAGUGUGUGAAAGGCAUCAAGCUUCCAUGCGAUCGAUGGCGUUUGCAAACCCGACAUGUCGCGAUGUGUAUAUACGUAUCAAUUAGGCUUCAAUACCAUAUAACUGGAAUUAACCAAUGCAAGUGGAAGAAGGAUUGGCCGGUGCUGCCGGCUGGCAUCAAGUUCGAUCCCACAGAUCAGGAGCUGAUCGAGCACCUUGAGGCCAAACACGGCAUAUGCUACACCCAUCCUGAGAAACUUCCAGGUAUCACACUGAGUGGCCUAAGCAAGCAUUUCUUCCAGCGCAAUUCCAGGGCGUUCAAAAGGGGCACGUGGACGCGUCGCAAGAUACAGUUGGAGUGCGGCAUGCACGCGAUGUGGCACAACACUGGCAAUACCUUGCCGGUGAUGGUCAACGGCCGGCAGACGAGCAGCAAAAAGGUUCUGGUGCUGCACACCAACAAGAACUUCGACCAACAAAGGACCAACUGGGUGAUGCACUAG